rnacentral:rRNA from 1 species
UACGAAGGGUGCAAGCGUUACUCGGAAUUACUGGGCGUAAAGCGUGCGUAGGUGGUUUGUUAAGUCUGAUGUGAAAGCCCUAGGCUCAACCUGGGAAUUGCAUUGGAUACUGGCAGGCUAGAGUGCGGUAGAGGAUGGCGGAAUUCCCGGUGUAGCAGUGAAAUGCGUAGAGAUCGGGAGGAACAUCUGUGGCGAAGGCGGCCAUCUGGACCAGCACUGACACUGAGGCACGAAAGCGUGGGAGCAACAGG